AUACGUAGGGGGCGAGCGUUGUCCGGAAUGAUUGGGCGUAAAGGGCGCGUAGGCGGCCUGUUAAGUCUGGAGUGAAAGUCCUGCUUUCAAGGUGGGAAUUGCUUUGGAUACUGCCGCGCUUGAGUGCAGGAGAGGUUAUCGGAAUUCCCGGUGUAGCGGUGAAAUGCGUAGAGAUCGGGAGGAACACCAGUGGCGAAGGCGGGUAACUGGACUGCAACUGACGCUGAGGCGCGAAAGUGUGGGGAGCAAACAGGAUUAGAUACCCUGGUAGUCCACACUGUAAACGAUGAAUGCUAGGUGUAAGAGGUAUCGACCCCUUUUGUGCCGGAGUCAACACAAUAAGCAUUCCGCCUGGGGAGUACGGCCGCAAGGUUGAAACUCAAAUGAAUUGGCGGGG
rnacentral:rRNA from 1 species